rnacentral:misc_RNA from 1 species
GGAGAUCGAUAGCAUACAA